rnacentral:rRNA from 1 species
AAAUUGAAGAGUUUGAUCAUGGCUCAGAUUGAACGCUGGCGGCAGGCCUAACACAUGCAAGUCGAGCGGUAGCACAGAGAGCUUGCUCUCGGGUGACGAGCGGCGGACGGGUGAGUAAUGUCUGGGAAACUGCCUGAUGGAGGGGGAUAACUACUGGAAACGGUAGCUAAUACCGCAUAACGUCGCAAGACCAAAGUGGGGGACCUUCGGGCCUCAUGCCAUCAGA